AGUAAGUGUCAUUCAACAUAGAGAAUUUGAACGGUAAUAAAUAGAAGUUCUCUAUAAUUAAUUACAAGAAUGUAUUAAUGAAUAGCUGUAUAUCUUUACAAUGAGAUAAUGCUAGAAUCAAACUAUUCGGCUGGAUUUGAGAAAAAUAAACAAAUUCUGCAACAACAGAUCUCUUCCUCAACUCGUUAUUUCACUUUUUGUGCUACAUCCCGUCAGCUCCAAUUUCCUUGUGCAUCCGCCCGUUCGGCACUUUAUUGAAUUUAGACAACGAGGUCCUCUGAGGUAGUUAACCUAUAUUUUCAUAAAAUGGAAAAUAACUAGCAGAUCAUUGAAAGUCAAUAUAAGAUUGCAUAAUCUACAUGCAAGAAUAAUUCAAUAAAAUGAAUUUAUCUAGUGCAACUAUUUUUACGAGUAUCCUCAUCCUUAUAAGACAACCAAUUGAAGUAUAGUUAUUUGUCAUCAGCGAACAAAAUGCCUUAGUAAAAAACACAUAAUUUUAAUAAAGAAGGAUGUUGUUUGGCCAUCAAACUUACAAGAACUUUGCCAUAAGUUAACACACUGUGGACUUUCUCAUUGCAACUCUAUAUCACACACACUGUGGCCUUUCUCAUUGCAACUCUAUAUCACACACACAAAGGCUAGUGGAUUUGUGCAACCGCAUUCUUCACCUAAUCAACCAGCAUAGCCAUCAGUAGUACAUUUCAACCUAGUACAUUCUAAACAUGUUCAACUGAUUGCAUAAUUUUCGUAGGGAUAAAAUAAUUAGCAGGGUAAAUAGAACCUUAUAUUUAGACAAGUUAAUAGCACACUUAUUAUUAUAGCAUUUCUCCUUCAAAAGCCAAGAGUUAACUACAAUACUAUACUAACUAAACAGCCCCUUAAUAUAUAAAGCUAAUGAACAUAUGGAUGUGCAAUUUACUUUUAAGCAUUCUCCUGCCACACAGGAUAAUAUUUUCAUUCACAUCUAAUGACUACUUACUAGGAUCAUGCAACUAACUAUUUUGUUAAGUUUACAAGAAACAAAUACACGGUGAUAUGAAAUGCAGCACGCAUCUAAAUUGCUAACCUGCAGACAAUUGAAUCAGACAAGAUUUGAGGAAAUUUAAUCAAUUUUAUUCAUAUUUGAAAAUGAAUAAACAAUAGGGAAGGUCAUAGUGUUUAAGAUGCUUUAUCAGGCAUUUUAUCAAACAGUUGUAGGGCAUGAUUUGUGAAUGUGAUAUCAACAUUACUAUACUGUGUAAUAACAUUCCCAAACAGCUUCCAUUCAAAACAAACCUAUCUCAAUUUCACUACAUAUUACAACCACACAACAAAAUCACAAUAUAGAUUAAGUUUCAAAAACUUAUACUCUCAAUUCUUCUGCUGCAAAUAUAUAAGCACAAGCAAAGACAAUAAAUAAACAUGAUUGAAUUCCUCUAAGAAAUCAAAACGCUCACCAGAAAAAAGGAACAAUUCAAAUCCGAUCGAUCAAUCAAGAAAGAAAAAUCCUAACCUGGAGUUAUUCUAAUGGCGGAAUAGAUGAAGAGAAGGAAAUAGAGAAUGAAGCAAGAAGAGAGUACAUUUUCAUACUGCUAUCACUGAAGAUUAUUAAGUUCAGGGUUGGUGUGGAGGAAAUCGGCCGGGAGAAAUUGGGGGGAGGGGGGUGAACUUGAAUUGUUACCAGAGGAGGUCUAGGUUUUUUUUUAGAUAUUUGAGAGGGAAAUUUGGGAGGGAAGUUACGAAAAAAAAAAAUCUCUUUCU
rnacentral:lncRNA from 1 species